GACGAACGCUGGCGGCGUGCUUAACACAUGCAAGUCGAGCGGUAAGGCCCUUUCGGGGUACGACGAGCGGCGAACGGGUGAGUAACACGUGGGUGACCUGCCCUUAGCUCUGGGAUAAGCCUGGGAAACUGGGUCUAAUACCGGAUAUGACUCCAUGACGCAUGUUGUGGGGUGGAAAGCCUUGUGCGGCUAGGGAUGGGCCCGCGGCCUAUCAGCUUGUUGGUGGGGUGAUGGCCUACCAAGGCGACGACGGGUAGCCGGCCUGAGAGGGCGACCGGCCACACUGGGACUGAGACACGGCCCAGACUCCUACGGGAGGCAGCAGUGGGGAAUCUUGCGCAAUGGGCGAAAGCCUGACGCAGCGACG
rnacentral:rRNA from 1 species